rnacentral:rRNA from 1 species
UACGAAGGGGGGCUAGCGUUGCUCGGAAUUACUGGGCGUAAAGGGAGCGUAGGCGGGUUAUCAAGUUGGGGGUGAAAGCCCGGGGCUCAACCUCGGAAUUGCCUUCAAAACUGAUAACCUGGAGUAUGGAGGAGGUAAGUGGAACUCCGAGUGUAGAGGUGAAAUUCGUAGAUAUUCGGAAGAACACCAGUGGCGAAGGCGACUUACUGGUCCAUUACUGACGCUGAGGCUCGAAAGCGUGGGGAGCAAACAGG